UGCAAGUCGAACGGCAGCAUGACCUAGCUUGCUAGGUUGAUGGCGAGUGGCGGACGGGUGAGUAACGCGUAGGGAUCUGCCCUAAAGUGGGGGACAACUCGAGGAAACUCGAGCUAAUACCGCAUAAGCUCUCAGGAGUAAAGCUGGGGACCUUCGGGCCUGGCGCUUUAGGAUGAACCUGCGUCCGAUUAGCUAGUUGGUAAGGUAAAGGCUUACCAAGGCGACGAUCGGUAGCUGUUCUGAGAGGAAGAUCAGCCACACUGGGACUGAGAUACGGCCCAGACUCCUACGGGAGGCAGCAGUGGGGAAUAUUGGACAAUGGGGGAAACCCUGAUCCAGCAAUGCCGCGUGUGUGAAGAAGGCCUGCGGGUUGUAAAGCACUUUCAGUGGGGAGGAGAGGUUUAGUGUUAAUAGCACUGAACUGAGACGUUACCCACAAAAGCAGCACCGGCUAACUCUGUGCCAGCAGCCGCGGUAAUACAGAGGGUGCGAGCGUUAAUCGGAAUUACUGGGCGUAAAGAGUACGUAGGUGGUUUAUCAAGUUGGCUGUGAAAUACCCGGGCUUAACCUGGGUCUGUCAGUCAAUACUGGUAAACUAGAGGCCAAGAGAGGGUAGUGGAAUUUCCGGUGUAGCGGUGAAAUGCUUAGAUAUCGGAAGGAACAUCAGUGGCGAAGGCGGCUACCUGGCUUGGUUCUGACACUGAGGUACGAAAGCGUGGGGAGCAAACAGGAUUAGAUACCCUGGUAGUCCACGCUGUAAACGAUGACAACUAGCUG
rnacentral:rRNA from 1 species